rnacentral:lncRNA from 1 species
AAGUCCAAAAUUUUUUGGUAUAUUUUAUUUAUUUAUUUAUUUAUUUAUUUAUUUAUUUCGUUUUUCUUUUUCUUUUCUUUUUUUCUUCGUUUUUUUGUUUAUUUUUAUUUUUAUUUUAUUAUUAUUAUUAUUAUUAUUUUUUAUUUUAUUUUAGUAAACAAAAGUAAGAGAAACAAUGUUGUAUAAUUCAAGCAUGCUUGAUGAUCUCAAACCAAUCACAAGGAGUCCC